rnacentral:rRNA from 1 species
UUGAACGCUGGCGGCAUGCUUUACACAUGCAAGUCGCACGGCAGCGCGGGCUUCGGCCUGGCGGCGAGUGGCGAACGGGUGAGUAAUGCAUCGGAACGUGCCCAGUAGUGGGGGAUAGCCCGGCGAAAGCCGGAUUAAUACCGCAUACGACCUGAGGGUGAAAGCGGGGGACCGAAAGGCCUCGCGCUAUUGGAGCGGCCGAUGUCGGAUUAGCUAGUUGGUGGGGUAAAGGCUUACCAAGGCGACGAUCCGUAGCUGGUCUGAGAGGACGACCAGCCACACGGGGACGGAGAGACGGCACAGACCCCGAAGGGAGGCAGAAGGGGGAAAGUUGGAAAAAGGGGGGAAACCCUGAACAAGCCAUGGGGCGGGAGGAAAGAAGGCCUGGGGGUUGAAAACGGCUUUGGUGGGGGAAGAAACACUGUGGGCAAAAACCCGGGGGGGAGGAGGGUACGGAAAAAAAAAGAACCGGAAAACUACGGG